UUUUAUAUUUUUUUUCUAUUUAAUUUCUAAGUGACCUUCAACUCUCCCAUCUUUGCCUUCUCUCUCUUCCUGACCAACAUCCUCAAUCCCUUACAAAAUUUCAAGGGGUGCCUUGGCCUUUUUGACCCUCAAGGCGCUACGUCCGUUAUUUACGCUUUAGCAUGAACUAUGCUGAAAUCACUUUUAAUUUUUUUUUUAAUACGUGACGUUCCUCUCGCGCUUCCUUGACAUUUCACCAAUCCUUGCAUGCCCACGCACCAGCCCCAUCAUUUUCAAAGCAUGCCUUGCACUAAUUCCACCCUCAUCCACCCCCUAAACCCAGAUUAACGUAGAUGGCUCAUUCCUUUUCACUUUAAUUUUAGAUUUAUUUGUGAUUAAAUUACUGGGUGACCUUCAAAUCUUCCUUCCUUGCCUUCUCUCUCUUCCUGACCAACAUCCUCAAUCCCUUACAAAAUUUCAAGGGGUGCCUUGGCCUGUUUGUCCCACUCAGCUCGUCGUCCACCUUUUUCUCCUUCGCUCGUUUCCUGUUUGAAUCACUUUUAAUUAUUAUUUUUUUAAUAGGUGACGUUCCUCUGGCCCUUCUUUGGUCUUUUUCUAGAAACUAUUUGAAUAUUUAAAUCGCGAUUUCUAGAUGGUCGUCAAAAAUUUGUAUGUCGGGUCGGCCUCAAGGGUGGGUCUAGGGGCGUAGGGGUAAAAAUUAUGGACCACAGAAUCUGUUAAAAAUAAUAACCCGUUCAGGUUUGGAUUUCAUGAUGUUCGGAACGUUCGCCAGAAAAGGUUUUUUUAAUUUUGACGAUUUUGAAAAAAGAUUUUUGCAUUGAUUUAUUUAUUAAUUAUUUAAUUGUUAAAAAAAAUUACUUUUAUAAACAAUUCAUAAUACUAAAAAUUUAUUUAAAUUAUUUUUUAUUAAAAAAUUCAAUAUCAAUAUUGUAAUAAUAAUUAAAAUACAUAAAUCAAUUUAUAUUUAUUUAAUUAAACUUUCAGUCCCUUCAAAUUUAUUUUAAUUAAUUUUAACAAAUAAUAAUUAAUUUACAGUUUAUUUAACGAUAAUAUUUUUUUAAUUUUCAGGCGUUCAAUAAUAAUUUAAUUUUCUAUAUAAGUAAUUUUGGUAAAUUUUAACUCUAAAUGUUUAAAUAGUAAAUUUUAUAAAUAUAAUAAAUAUAUUUGCGUGUGGAAAAAGCGAGUACGCGAUUUCUCUCCUCGCGCGCAAAGUGAAAAUCCCCCCUCUGUAUGCGCGCGCAUAGCCAAUCAAAACUCUCCUUGCCGCUGACGUCAGCCCGACGCCACUCGCUCUUCAUUUGAAUCUGGUAAAAGUACCAAUUUCAAGUGGCCGUUGAAAAACAACACAGCACGGUCGCCACGGUCGGUUAUCUCUCAAAUGUUGUUGUUUUCUUGCAUUUGUGGGGUUUUUUGGGAAUGUAAACUCUUAAUUAAUGUGUAGUGCUACUAUUUGUGUUUGAAACGCCGCCGAUAUGUGAAUAUGCCAACGGCAAGCCCCGGCCGGGAGCGAAACUCAGCGAAAGCCCGGAGUUUGACUGUUGACGAUGAAUUUUGGGCCAGCCGGGGCUAAAAUUCAGCGCAAAAAAGUUUGAAACGUCGCCGAUGUGAAGAUUUCUGCCAACACAGAGGUAGCCCCGCGAGCUUAACUCGGCGAAAGCCCCGAGUUUUGACGGUUGACUACGCAGUUGGGCCGCGGCCGCGCGGGGCCGAAAUUCAGCGAAAAUUCUUUGUUAAGUUUUUUGAAGGACGUUAAAAACGGCAAACGAAAAACGACGCAGGCCAAUCUUCGGACACCUUGGCGCAUUUCAAGUGAAGAGGGGAGUCCGAUCUCCAAAUUUUUAAGCAAGCCAUGCAAGCCCACCGAGCAGCAACAUCAUUUGCAAAGCGUGCCUCACUUUCAAUCCACCCUCAACAACCAACGCACAUCGAGUAAAGCAGCCGGCUUAAUAUUUUUGUGACGUUCCUCUGGCCCUUCUUUGGUCUUUCAGCAAGCCAUGCAAGCCCACCGAGCAGCAACAUCAUGCGCAAAGCUUGCCUCACUUUCAAUCCACCCUCAACAACCCACGCACAUCGAGUAAAGCAGCCGGCUUAAUAUUUUUGUGACGUUCCUCUGGCCCUUCUUUGGUCUUUCAGCAAGCCAUGCAAGCCCACCGAGCAGCAACAUCAUUUUCAAAGCGUGCCUAACUUUCAAUCCACCCUCAACAACCCACGCACAUCGAGUAAAGCAGCCGGCUUAAUAUUUUUGUGACGUUCCUCUGGCCCUUCUUUGGUCUUUCAGCAAGCCAUGCAAGCCCACCGAGCAGCAACAUCAUGCGCAAAGCGUGCCUCACUUUCAAUCCACCCUCAACAACCCACUCACAUCGAGUAAAGCAGCCUGCUUAAUAUUUUUGUGACGUUCCUCUGGCCCUUCUUUGGUCUUUCAGCAAGCCAUGCAAGCCCACCGAGCAGCAACAUCAUGCGCAAAGCGUGCCUCACUUUCAAUCCACCCACGCACAUCGAGUAAAGCAGCCGGCUUAAUAUUUUUGUGACGUUCCUCUGGCCCUUCUUUGGUCUUUCAGCAAGCCAUGCCAGCCCACCGAGCAGCAACAUCAUUUGCAAAGCGUGCCUCACUUUCAAUCCACCCACGCACAUCGAGUAAAGCAGCCGGCUUAAUAUUUUUGUGACAUUCCUCUGGCCCUUCUUUGGUCUUUCAGCAAGCCAUGCAAGCCCACCGAGCAGCAACAUCAUUUGCAAAGCGUGCCUCACUUUCAAUCCACCCUCAACAACCCACGCACAUCGAGUAAAGCAGCCGGCUUAUUAUUUUUGUGACGUUCCUCUGGCCCUUCUUUGGUCUUUCAGCAAGCCAUGCAAGCCCACCGAGCAGCAACAUCAUUUGCAAAGCGUGCCUCACUUUCAAUCCACCCUCAACAACCCACGCACAUCGAGUAAAGCAGCCGGCUUAAUAUUUUUGUGACGUUCCUCUGGCCCUUCUUUGGUCUUUCAGCAAGCCAUGCAAGCCCACCGAGCAGCAACAUCAUGCGCAAAGCGUGCCUCACUUUCAAUCCACCCACGCACAUCGAGUAAAGCAGCCGGCUUAAUAUUUUUGUGACGUUCCUCUGGCCCUUCUUUGGUCUUUCAGCAAGCCAUGCCAGCCCACCGAGCAGCAACAUCAUUUGCAAAGCGUGCCUCACUUUCAAUCCACCCACGCACAUCGAGUAAAGCAGCCGGCUUAAUAUUUUUGUGACGUUCCUCUGGCCCUUCUUUGGUCUUUCAGCAAGCCAUGCAAGCCCACCGAGCAGCAACAUCAUGCGCAAAGCGUGCCUCACUUUCAAUCCACCCACGCACAUCGAGUAAAGCAGCCGGCUUAAUAUUUUUGUGACGUUCCUCUGGCCCUUCUUUGGUCUUUCAGCAAGCCAUGCCAGCCCACCGAGCAGCAACAUCAUUUGCAAAGCGUGCCUCACUUUCAAUCCACCCACGCACAUCGAGUAAAGCAGCCGGCUUAAUAUUUUUGUGACAUUCCUCUUGCGCUUCCUUGACAUUUCACCAAGUGCCCACCAAGUAACCCCUCUAAUUUUUAAAGUAUGCCUGGUCCAUCUUUAACCCUCGUUCACCCUUACGCCUUGGAUAAGGUGUCGGGCUGCCUCUUUAGCGAUUUUCCACAAACUCCGGAUGCCCACCAAUCAGCUCAUCAUGUCCAACGAUUUAUUAUCUCACAGACGUCAAAAGCUAUUAUUUUAUUGAAUUUUUGUGCAUUUGGCUAUAUCAGCAAUGUUUCUUUGAAAUAAUAAAAUAAGUUGAGAUUAUAUAAAAACUUCA